rnacentral:lncRNA from 10 species
CUACCUGCUGAGCACCCCUGUGCAUCAGGUGGCCUUGUUCCUGCGGCGGGGAUACAGCAAGGAACACAGCCCUGCCCCGUGGAGCUCAUAUUCUGUGGGGUAGCGGGUGGAGGAAACAUAUUAAAGACUGCUGAACUCACACAUGAUUUUCUGAAGCGGGCAGAAGAGAUGGCAGAUCAAACCGGGGUCAGAAUCUAGAAGAUGACUGCCUAACCAGAUGUG